AAAGCUGAGAACAUGGACGUUAAUAUCGCCCCACUCCGCGCCUGGGACGAUUUCUUCCCGGGUUCCGAUCGCUUUGCCCGGCCGGACUUCAGGGACAUUUCCAAAUGGAACAACCGCGUGGUGAGCAACCUGCUCUAUUACCAGACCAACUACCUGGUGGUGGCUGCCAUGAUGAUUUCCAUUGUGGGGUUUCUGAGUCCCUUCAACAUGAUCCUGGGAGGGAUCGUGGUGGUGCUGGUGUUCACAGGGUUUGUGUGGGCAGCCCACAAUAAAGACGUCCUUCGCCGGAUGAAGAAGCGCUACCCCACAACGUUCGUUAUGGUGGUCAUGUUGGCGAGCUAUUUCCUUAUAUCCAUGUUUGGAGGAGUCAUGGUCUUUGUGUUUGGCAUUACUUUUCCUUUGCUGUGUAAGUGAACUUGAGUUUUUUCUUCCAUCAUCAAAAAAAUGUAGGAGCAAUUAUCCAACGGGAAUUCCAUAACCUGUUUCUUAUAUGUGUUGGCAUGUCAGCAAAAGUGUCAGAAUUUUCUAAAACAGCUUUCUACUUGUUAUCCAACUAGACCCAGAUAACACAGAACUGAGA
rnacentral:sRNA from 1 species